rnacentral:rRNA from 1 species
AGUGAACGCUGGCGGUAGGCCUAACACAUGCAAGUCGAACGGCAGCACAGGAGAGCUUGCUCUCUGGAUGGCGAGUGGCGGACGGGUGAGGAAUACAUCGGAAUCUACUUUUUCGUGGGGGAUAACGUAGGGAAACUUACGCUAAUACCGCAUACGACCUACGGGUGAAAGCAGGGGACCUUCGGGCCUUGCGCGAUUGAAUGAGCCGAUGUCGGAUUAGCUAGUUGGCGGGGUAAAGGCCCACCAAGGCGACGAUCCGUAGCUGGUCUGAGAGGAUGCUCAGCCACACUGGAACUGAGACACGGUCCAGACUCCUACGGGAGGAAGCAGUGGGGAAUAUUGGACAAUGGGCGCAAGCCUGAUCCAGCCAUACCGCGUGGGUGAAGGAGGCCUUCGGGUUGUAAAGCCCUUUUGUUGGGAAAGAAAUCCAGCUGGCUAAUACCCGGUUGGGAUGACGGUACCCAAAGAAUAAGCACCGGCUAACUUCGUGCCAGCAGCCGCCGUAA